GCAGACUCAAGGCUGCGAUGUUCGCUACGCACUGGGCUUUUCGCAAGUCUUCAUUCGCGAACGGGCCAAGGUCUGAGCAUUCUAGUCCUCCUCGAUUGGUUCUCGACGAACCUGGUGGUAACUCACCAAGCGGCGUACCAGAAAUUCACCUCUCAUGCGCAUGUCUUAAGAUCUUGUCCUUCGGGGCGAGGGAGGAUCACGCACGAUUUGGGGUUUGAAAUUCGCUGCGAGGGUUGGGCGGUGCUUUUUAACUGGCUUUGGAGUUGCAACGAGCUUUAUCGGCAUACCAGCGUGCUUGCACGCCCGGAACAAUGGUCUCCUCCUGGGGGGCAGCUUCCAGGAGUGAUCGUUCUUGCGUUUCGGGCUAUACAUGCUAUGGUCCGAUCUACCCUGGACAUGCUACGGAGUACAUCUGAAACAACAUCUGAAACGAUGUCGAAAGAUGCGACGCUUCUGAAACGUGGCCGUCCGCCAUCGAUCCGUACAUACCUGUACGCGCUCUGUCUAGUGCAUGACUGCAUCUAGUGAAUACCACGCGCAGUGGUUCGACCGUCCUGCUGUCACGCAGGUUGUGGAUACCUCCUUUGCCCAUCUUCGCGCCAAUGACUGGCCAGGGAAAGGAAGGCGAUGUCAUAUCCCAAUACAACGCUGUCGGUCCAAAUACCUCAAUGGUACACACAUGGAACAAGAAAUGCUCCUGAACCUGCUUAACUAGCAGUGGAAACCGGAACCGCGUCCAGGGUACCCAUGCACGAGGGGCUUGCAACUCCAAAACCGGUCGCGAAAGCACCGUCCUUUAGUUCACUUCGCAGCUCGUAUCCUUCGGGAUAACGAAACUCGAUUCAGACUACUCUUUGUCUGC
rnacentral:RNase_P_RNA from 1 species